rnacentral:misc_RNA from 1 species
AUGGGACGGCCCGCUGGGCUGUUCCCGCCCCUAUGCCCUUUUUUGGGUUUCCGGCCAGAGGCAUGCUGGGAGCGUCACAUGCAAAUUGAGCGUGCACCCAGCGUUCCGCCCUUUCUACGCUGGGCCGGUUAUCGACCCGGCCCAGUGCGCAGGCGCGGGAAAGUUGAACUAAUAAAGUUUGUACGAGUUCAGUGGAGGAGACCGCAAGUUGAGUGGAGGAGGCGGCGGUGGGGCCCCGGACCAGGUCAGCGGGGUGUUGACGAGGGGUGGGGUGAGGAGGGAAGAGGAGGGGGCCGGGAUCCAGUGGUGGGCACCCCAGUCCCGCUUCUCUGAUAUCCAAGGGUCCAGGGUCCUCUAGAUUCCAGCAGGGGUCGGAGAUUUGGAACUACACCUCACAGCAGGCUGCGCGGCGAAGAAGCGCGGACCUAGGGGAAGAUUUGCCCUGAAACCUCUUGGGAUUGGUAGUUCCCGAUGCUUUAAGGGUUUCAGGAGUUUGGCAUAUGCCUCUUAUAGAAUCCAGGAGUUGGGGCGCUAAGCCUCUUCUUCCUGGGAGACCUAAGGGUCUGGGGCUCCAGUUCCUUUUUCUCUAAGACUCAGAAGUCCAGGACCCCAGCUCCCUCCUCCUUUAGACCCACGAAUCUGGGCACCCAGCCCCACCACCUUUCCUUGGAUCGAAGAGUCUUUUUCCUGAUCGCUUUUUCGUCUGAGGACUCAAGAGUCUAGGCCCCCAGACCCACACUCUCCAAAGGACCCAGGAGUCCAGGCCCUCAGCACCUUCCUUGGGACUCACAAGUCCUGGUCCCCAAGCCUCCACUUCUUGCUAAACCCUUGGAGUCCAGUCCCUAACCCUCUCUCUCACAGGUGCCUCCAUGGCAGGCUCUGAAGAGCUGGGGCUCCGGGAAGACACGCUGAGGGUCCUAGCUGCCUUCCUUAGGCGUGGUGAGGCUGCCGGGUCUCCUGUUCCAACUCCACCUAGAAGCCCUGCCCAAGAAGAGCCAACAGACUUCCUGAGCCGCCUUCGAAGAUGUCUUCCCUGCUCCCUGGGGCGAGGAGCAGCCCCCUCUGAGUCCCCUCGGCCUUGCUCUCUGCCCAUCCGCCCCUGCUAUGGUUUAGAGCCUGGUAAGAGAUUUCCAUGAUCAUCUAUGAAGCCGGCAGAACACGGGAUAAGGCCCAGCUACUCCAGACUUCUAUGCUUUGGUGGCCCAGCGGCUGGAACAGCUGGUCCAAGAGCAGCUGAAAUCUCCGCCCAGCCCAGAAUUACAGGGUCCCCCAUCGACAGAGAAGGAAGCCAUACUGCGGAGGCUGGUGGCCCUGCUGGAGGAGGAGGCAGAAGUCAUUAACCAGAAGGAGGGCAUCCUGGCUGUUUCACCCGUGGACUUGAACUUGCCAUUGGACUGAGCUCUUUCUCAGAAGCUGCUACAAGAUGACACCUCAUGUCCCUGCCCUCUUCGUGUGCUUUUCCAAGUCUUCCUAUUCCACUCAGGGCUGUGGGGUGGUGGUUGCCCUACCUGUUUUUGCCAAAAAUAAAUUGUUUAAAACUUUUCUUAUUAAAAACGUUACAAAGUA